GCCUGGGUGGCUCAGUGGGUUGAGCGUCUGACUUCAGCUCAGGUCAUGAUCUCGCCGACCGCGAGUUCGGUCCCUGCAUCGGGCU
rnacentral:tRNA from 1 species